rnacentral:rRNA from 1 species
CCCUUAGAUGUUCUGGGCCGCACGCGUGCUACACUGAGUGGAUCAGCGGGUCAGGUUGCGCGAAAGUGUUUCCUAAUCUUGAAAUCCGCUCGUGAUGGGGAUUGACGGUUGCAAUUUUCCGUCAUGAACGAGGAAUACCUUGUAAGCGCGGGUCAUCAUCCCGCGCUGAAUACGUCCCUGCCCUUUGUACACACCGCCCGUCGCUCCUACCGAUUGAGUGGUCCGGUGAGGCUUUGGGAUCUGAGCAAAAAGAGCGUUUCGCUCGUUUGGCUCGGAAAACUCAGUCGAACCUUAUCAUUUAGAGGAAGGAGAAGUCGUAACA